CUAACCUGCCCUUAACUCUGGGAUAAGCCUGGGAAACUGGGUCUAAUACCGGAUAGGAGCGUCCACCGCAUGGUGGGUGUUGGAAAGAUUUAUCGGUUUUGGAUGGACUCGCGGCCUAUCAGCUUGUUGGUGAGGUAAUGGCUCACCAAGGCGACGACGGGUAGCCGGCCUGAGAGGGUGACCGGCCACACUGGGACUGAGACACGGCCCAGACUCCUACGGGAGGCAGCAGUGGGGAAUAUUGCACAAUGGGCGCAAGCCUGAUGCAGCGACGCCGCGUGAGGGAUGACGGCCUUCGGGUUGUAAACCUCUUUCAGUAGGGAAGAAGCGAAAGUGACGGUACCUGCAGAAGAAGCACCGGCUAACUACGUGCCAGCAGCCGCGGUAAUACGUAGGGUGCGAGCGUUAUCCGGAAUUAUUGGGCGUAAAGAGCUCGUAGGCGGUUUGUCGCGUCUGUCGUGAAAGUCCGGGGCUUAACCCCGGAUCUGCGGUGGGUACGGGCAGACUAGAGUGCAGUAGGGGAGACUGGAAUUCCUGGUGUAGCGGUGGAAUGCGCAGAUAUCAGGAGGAACACCGAUGGCGAAGGCAGGUCUCUGGGCUGUAACUGACGCUGAGGAGCGAAAGCAUGGGGAGCGAACAGGAUUAGAUACCCUGGUAGUCCAUGCCGUAAACGUUGGGCACUAGGUGUGGGGACCAUUC
rnacentral:rRNA from 2 species